AAAGGUAUGCGCCCGUUUUUCGCCGUUAAUGUUGCAGUAUUUUGGAUCGAGAAUUUAGUGCGACGAAGAUGGCCGUUAAUAAUAGUUCUACUACUUUAAGAACACGGGUCAGAUUUGGACAACGACUUCGAAGGCAUUCGCAGUAGACCAAACAGAGAAAGAGAGGGAGACACAAAAACCACCUGUCUCGGUGUCACACAUGAGGAGUUGAGGAGGAGAUGAAGUCAGUGAAUAUGACCUGGCCUGGGGGAGUUUCCAGAAGAAGGCCCAGAAUCGUCAGAUGCCAGGAGUGGAGAUCCUUCGUUGCUGCCCUACAUGCUAGGAGGCAUCGGGCAGUAGAUGCUGUAAAUUGAAAUGGAAGGUGUCCUGCCAUUAAAUUUUCAUCCCACCUGAACUGCCUUGCCUGCCUGCUCUAUUUUUCAUCAUCGUUCGUUUCGGCUUGUAUGAAGUGAAUUUCACAUUGAUUGGUGGAGCUGCUAAGUUGGCAUUACAGGGCCACGCUGGGGUAUGAUCCUUGGGGUUGAACAUCAUGACUGCUAGUUGGUCGGCGAAGGUGAUGGGAUCGAUCAAUGUCGCAUGGAGUAAGAUCGAUACCAAUCUGCUUUGCUGCAUUUCGAACAAUCUCAUACGGAUACGGAUAUUAUUGCGACAGGAGUACUGCUCGAUGUGGUCAAGCCUAUUUGACAAAGCAUUAUGGUGUUAGUCAUGUUAUCAGAAACAGAUUUUUUUAAAUCACGGAGUUGCUUCAAUUUAGUAUCGAUAGAUAUUUCAAGAACGUGUGGACUAGUGAGUUUUUCAUCAAGAAUUUCACGCAAUUUAUUUUCGUGCUUAUCCAUGUCAUCAUUGAGUUUUUGUCUCUCGCGUUCCAUUGCCACGGCCGCCGCUCUUUGAACGACUGUAUCAAUAUGAUUUAGGUAUGCUGGGCUUUGUUUAGAUCCAGUUAAUGAUGAAUCAGAGGAUUGUGUACAUGCGUUAGCCGAGUGCAAGCGGCCUCUUGAUCUGGUGGAUAUCUUAGACAUGAUGUUAGAGAUUACGUAAUGAUAUAAUUGAAAAGUGGGAUGGGCUGUGCAUCUGCCAACUCACCAGUCAACCAAUUAGAGACGGCCUUCCAAAGUGACACAGCAUGAAAAUAUCAAUAUGGGACUGGUCUAGUCAACACAUAGAUCCUGAAAAAACCAUGGAGACCGCAGACGCAAAAUGACUUCCAUACAUAAAGAUAUGAUGCACAAUUUCCAGUGGGUUCAAAACACUGAACACAUGCUAUGCUGAUACACAGACUAUCAUAAGAACUUUAUCAAGCAUAGGAAAUCUGGUAUGAAAUCUCUCAGCUCACAUAAAAAGCCAACGUAGCUACAUGUAGGGAAGAAAAUGAAAAUGCGUAAUUGCUGAGAAAUGAGCAAAAUAAGCAUGUAAUUCUAUCAAAUGUCAGGUAUUUUUCGAAUCGAUUAUAAUACACUGUCCCACAUAUGCUUUUCUGUGUUUAUAGCGAUCAUCAGAAUUAUCGAUUUUAAGUUUAAAAAUUCAUGAUUUUACAAAGAUACAAGUUUACAUUAAUGUACCAGAUGUAGAUUAUGUACAAUAUAUUGACAAUUAACUUUGAUUUUAUAGAUUUUCUCAAGAAAUAAUUGUUUGCUGCAACUACUGUCUUUUCCUUCUAAGUGAUAGUGUAAUACAACAGUUCCACAAACUAUUUUCAUCAGACUUAUUAAUGUAUGAUUCUUUCACCCAAAUGCAAGCUUCCAUAAAUCAUGAAAACCUUGCAACUCAGGUAUUUUUUUAAAAUACAGUAUAUUUUUUCCUACAUUACAUAGUUGCCUUAAGUUAAUAGCCCACCUCUAGUAGUAACUAUCUUAAAAUGAGUUCGAACAGAAUCCAACAGAAUUACCAGCAAAGUGUAUAUAUAAAAGAUGUGUGCCAAAUAGCUCGGGAAGAAAAUGUGUAAUUGCUGAGAAAUGAGCAAAAUAAGCAUGUAAUUCUAUCAAAUGUCGAGUAUUUUUCGAAUCAAUCAUAAUACACUGUCCAGUCCCUCAUAUGCUUUUCUGUGUUAGUGAUCAUCAGAAUUAUUGAUUUUAAAGAUAAAUUCCAGUUUUGGUAACGAUCUCAAAAUGACUUUUUACAGAAUCUAAUAUAAUGACCACCCAAGUGUUUGUUUGUAUGAAUAAAAAAUAUGUGCCAAAGGAUUCUGGAAGAAAUUGUGUAAUUGCUGAGAAAUAAGCAAAAUAAGCGCGGAUUCGGUCACUUCCGUCGGGUCUUUAUUCCAGCAAUAAUAAUACACUGUCCCACGUGUGCCUAUCUGUGUUGGUGAUCUUCAGUGUGAACAUUUUUCAGCGUAGAUUUCAGGAUUUCACAAAGUUCAGUUUAUGUAACUGUACCAGAUCUAGAUCCUCGAUGAUAUACUGCCAAUUAAGCCUUGUUUUACAGACUUUCUCAUGAAAUCAGUGUUUACUGCAACUACUGGAACUUCUCUUUAAGUUCAAAAUUCAUGAUUUUACAAAGAUACAAGUUUACAUUAAUUUACCAGGGCCCCGUCUUACAAAGAGUUAUGAUUGAUCCGAUCAAUCGCAAAUAUGGACGGUCAGCAACGUUAACAUCUAUUAAGCAUGUUUGUUCAAAAUAUUUUCUAGCUAUGAUGUAUGUUCAUGCAUUCAUUGUUUUCUCAAAAAUUUGCUGCGCUUCUCUUUGCAUACAAAGGACAUUGUGCAAAUUUUUCGUAGAAAAAAAAUUAUGACACUGAUGGGUUUCCUUAGAGUUAUGAUUGAUCAGAUCAAUCGUAACUCUUUGUAAGACGGGGCCCAGAUCUAGAUUAUGUACAAUAUUUUGACAAUUAACCAUAAUUUAAAAGACUUUCCGAAGAAUUAAUUGUUUGCUGCAACUACUCUCUUUUACCCCUAAGUGAUAGUGUAAUACAACCCAAACUUUUCAUAAGAAUUAAUGUACAUGUAUGAUUCUUUCACCCAAAUGCGAGCUUCCAUAAAUCAUGAAAUUAUUCCAACUCAGGUAUUUUUUAAAAAAUACAUUACAUAGUUGUCUAAAGUUGAAGGUAUAUUUAAUUACAAUUUCAACGAAAAAGCUUUAUUCUUGGAAAUCAUUAUGCCUCUGUUAUGUAUUAAUGUGUAUUUAUACAUUUUCAAUUGUAUGUAUUGGUAUAACAAACAUUGUAAUUUCAUUCCUUUGACCCUAAUACUGCAUUUUCAUAGAAAAGUGGGGUUUUUAAAAAAUCUAUUUAGAGUUUUCAACUUUUUGGUUUUCCUUUUUUUUGCUGGUAAUAUCAUGUUAUGCAACUUUUAUUUAUUAAUAGAAUAUUUGCCACGAUUUCGUAAUUGAAAUGCGUACAUGUAUUUGAUUUCGUUUUCCAUUUUUGUAUAUAUUCUUUUUCGG